rnacentral:miRNA from 1 species
CAGAGGAAGACUGAUGCUAGUU